UAUUCAAGUUCAAAUAGCCGCAUUUG
rnacentral:miRNA from 1 species